UUAGACUCUCCUUCACCGCGCCAGAGGUUAACCUCUGGCGGCGGCGGAGCCUCAAUGCUAACACCAAUUACAUCAUCUUUUUCAGUUUAAUGUCUUAGAUCUAAAUAUUGUUAUGACAAGACCUAAAUCUUCAUGAACAGUAUGAAUCGAAGCUAAACCUUGACGAAACCUAAACAUCAUAAACUAAAAUUAAAUUCAUCUCUUCCGGAAUCACAACCCUAGAUGUUAGGGAUUUGAUUCCCCUUACCUCCCUCUACAUCUCGGUAACAAAAAAUGGAGCAAACGACUAUGAAAAAAGAAACUCACCGGAGAAGACGUAGAGCACCGGAAUUCAGGUAAGUCUAUUCUUCCUCUGCUUCUCUUCGAAUCUCUUUCUUAUUUAACUUUCUUCUUCUUCCUUCUUCCUAUAUGAUCGUUUGUUGCGUUCUGAGAUUGAAUGUGUGAAUCUUUGAGUUGAUUUAAGGUGAAGGAUGAAUGAAGAGUUUGAGUCUAUGGGGUGAAAAGAUUGUGAAAAAAUGAUGUGAAUUUGUGAGGGAGAGAGAGAGCUCGAGAGUGAAGACUAAGGGAUUGUGAGAAAUGAGUCUGAGUUGAUGAAGCCUCCUGAAGAAUGGAGAGUGAUGUCAAUUUCUAAGGAUGAGUUAAUAUGAGGUUAUCUCUAUGAGUCUGAUUCAAUCUAAAGUUUGUUGAAUGUUAACUAACAAAGUUAGAAUUAGUUAGUUAGGGAUGAAUAGUUAGUUAGGAUUUCGAAAGUGAAAUGUUAAAUUUGAUUUUCUGUUUAAGUGAUGAAUGAAAUUCAACUUCUGUUAAACUCUGCAGUUAGAUGUUAGUUAAUUGUUAGUUAUCAAACUCAAUUUUUGUUAAGUUGGAAGUGUUUAGUUAGUUAUUUAAGCUCGAUUCAGCUAGAAGUGCAGUUAGAUGAAACUCAAUUAAUGGUUAGCUAUUAUGCCUUUGAUGUAUGUAGAAUUGGUGCAUGAUGAUUGUAUGAUGUUAGUUACCUUUCCCUACUACUGAAGGAACUGUUGUAUGUUAGUAUACACUUACUGUAGGGUUAUUGUUCAAUGUUUGAUGCUUAAUUGGUACAUGUUACAUACAUUUUCUGCAGGAUAAUUGUUGCAGGGUGCUAGGCCUGUUAUGGAGUGUUUAGCUUUAUGUUGCCAUUCCUUGCUUGCUCAUUGAUGCAGGAUAGAUGUUUAGUUUUUAGGCUUUGGAUGGUUGGGCUGCAGAAUCGUGGCAGGUAGUGCUCAUGCGUGUGUGACUGUUGGAUUGAUUGCAUGUCUGCUAAGUUAGUGAAAUGGUUGUAGGCUGAAGUUGGAUUGGUGAUGCUUGCUGCAGGAUUUUGGUUUUCAUGUGAUAGGCAUUUGUUUACGUAUGUGGUCAUUGUAGAUGCUUGAUGCAGAAUGUUGUGAGGUGUGAGCUGUUGUAUUGAUGCAAUGACAAUAGUUGUGCAUUUUUGUAUUCACUUGUUGCAAGUUUAUUGUGAGGUAUGUUCAUGUUGUUGUGUGACUGUUGUAGGCAGGUGUGAGGUAUGAUGGCAAUGGUCAUGUAUGCUAAUACUUUGCCUAGGUUUUUCUUAAGUUGAUAUGAAAUGGUUUAGGUUGGAUUUGGUUAUGUAUUGACAUGUGAAUGGUUUUGAAAUGGUAAUGUGGUUUAGAAUGUGGUCAUGUAAUCUUAUGGUAUUGAAAUGAACAUGUAUUGAAUCAUGACAUUGCCUUAUGUGUUUUUUUGGAUUUUGGUGUUUUGUAGGUGAUGAAUAAAUGCCAAGAUAAUCUUAACUUGAAGACCAAGGAACUAGGACUUAGGGAUGGUAGAAUGCUGAGUUGACUUUGGUCAACUGGCUGACCAAAAAGUCAACAAUUAUCCAAAAAGUCAACUUAUACAAAAAUGAUGUACUUUGUAAUCCUUUUUCAAUGCAAUGUAUAUGAACAAUGUACUUAAUGGAUCUUAUAAAUGCAAUGUAUUUCCUAAUUAAAAUGAAUGUAAAAGUGCAAAAAACGUAAAUUCACAUAACCAUUUUCCAAAUUCAAUGCAACCAAUUGGAAACAAGUACUCUGAAUGAAUGAAAUUG
rnacentral:lncRNA from 1 species